UCACAAACUGCAAAGACUAUUCUUUAUUAGUUUGUAAAGCAUCUAUCACUAAGGAAUGUCAUGCUCUUAUAAAAAGGACAAUUAUGAAGCAACUUUCUAAGACUGGACACACUUUCCUUGAAACCAGGAUCCCCAUUGAUGGAGAAUGCUGACCACUGUCAGGUAGACCUCAGGCAAAAAGAAACUGAAGACUGAACUCAGGCUGUUUUAAAUUUCUUCCCAAGGGGCCUGGAGAGAGUCACACCUGCAGGCGACCAAUCUUGCUAGACUGGUCACACUGACCCCGUCUGUUGUGACUUGCUCUCAUGACUUGACUCUGGCAUAGCAUCACUUGAUGAUUAAUAGGUUUCCUUAUCUUAACAAAUAUAUGUUAACACCAAGCCUUAACAUACCUUUCUGCUGACCCCAAGGUUUUAGACAAAGGCUUGUUCCCUCAGCCAGUUGCAAAUCAGAGAAUCUCUAAAUCCACCUCGGACCUGUUAGCCCCUGCUUCAAGAUAUCCUCCCUUUGCAGAACAAGUCAAUGUAUAACCUCCACAUAUUGAUUUAUGAAUUUGCCUGUUACUUGUUUUCCUGAAAUGUACCCCUGUCUUUAAAAACACUUGCUUGUAAGCCAUUGGGGAAGUUGGUUCUUAAGUGUUAGCUACCUGUUCUUCUUACUUGGUGCCCUGCAAUAAAUGUCCUUUUUUCUCUUCCUGCAAA